rnacentral:tRNA from 1 species
UGUUCUGUAGCUUAGUUGGUUAAAGCGCCGGACUCACCAGGGUGCAAGGCCGCCAUUUUUAAGAAUCCAACAUCUUGUAUGUGAACAUUUGUGUAUCCACAAAGGAUUCCAUUGUGGAUACACGAUAGAUGUUGGCUCCUGUCAGAUGCAUUAGGGUUGCCACAUACGUGGCCUGACUAGCGAUAACGGAGUCGUGGGUUCGAAUCCCACCAAAACAA